GUCCACGCCCUAAACUAUGGAUACUCGACAUCAGCGAUACACUGUUGGUGUCUGAGCGAAAGCAUUAAGUAUCCCACCUGGGAAGUACGACCGCAAGGUUGAAACUCAAAGGAAUUGGCGGGGGUCGCACAAGCGGUGGAGCAUGUGGUUUAAUUCGAUGAUACGCGAGGAACCUUACCUGGGCUAGAAUGUCAGUGGACUGUGGGUGAAAGCUCACUUUGUAGCAAUACACCGCUGAUAAGGUGCUGCAUGGCUGUCGU
rnacentral:rRNA from 1 species